rnacentral:rRNA from 1 species
UUGAGUUUGAUCCUGGCUCAGAAUGAACGCUGGCGGCGUGCCUAACACAUGCAAGUCGAACGAGAAAGGGGGAUUCGUCUCCCGAGUAAAGUGGCGCACGGGUGAGUAACGCGUGGGUGACCUACCCUGGAAUUUGGGAUAACACUGCGAAAGUGGUGCUAAUACCGGAUACGAUCCUUCAGCGAUGGAGGGUGAAAGUCGGCCUCUCGAAGAAGCUGAUGUUCUGGGAUGGGCUCGCGUCCUAUCAGCUAGUUGGUAGGGUAAUGGCCUACCAAGGCGACGACGGGUAGCUGGUCUGAGAGGAUGAUCAGCCACACUGGCACUGGAACACGGGCCAGACUCCUACGGGAGGCAGCAGUGAGGAAUUUUGCGCAAUGGGGGAAACCCUGACGCAGCAACGCCGCGUGGGUGAAGAAGGCCUUCGGGUCGUAAAGCCCUGUCAGGUGGGAAGAAUGUCCCCAGGGUGAACAAUUUUGGGGAGUGACGGUACCACCAGAGGAAGCACCGGCUAACUCCGUGCCAGCAGCCGCGGUAAUACGGAGGGUGCGAGCGUUGUUCGGAAUCAUUGGGCGUAAAGGGCGUGCAGGCGGUUGGGUAAGUCUGAUGUGAAAGCCCGGGGCUCAACCCCGGAAGUGCAUUGGAAACUGUCCGACUUGAGUACCGGAGAGGAUGGGGGAAUUCCCGGUGUAGAGGUGAAAUUCGUAGAGAUCGGGAGGAAUACCAGUGGCGAAGGCGCCCAUCUGGACGGAUACUGACGCUGAGACGCGAAAGCGUGGGGAGCAAACAGGAUUAGAUACCCUGGUAGUCCACGCUGUAAACGAUGAGCACUAGGUGUAGCGGGUAUUGACCCCUGCUGUGCCG